CUGGGGGCAUCUCUCUGGCAAAAUAAAGCAGCUCUAAUGUGGUAAAUAAAGAAGUAACGAGUCGAGUGUAGCCCAGUGGAACGGAGUAAGAGCAGCGGUUCUUCUUCACAGAUCCACUCAAGUAAAAGUAAAAAGUCCUCUUCAUCAUCCUCAACUCCCAGCAGGGCACCUGUCUUUACAUCGUACACUGUCUGCUCAAUAAGGAGGUGCAAGAGGAGUACAGAAAAUGGCUGAAGUGCUCCUGCAGAGAAGACAGAAUUGUGCAGAAGGAUGCACCUUCAGUCUCUGAGGACUUGGACAAACCCAAGGAACAGAGAACUGAGAAAUGAAAGGAUGAUGAGUAAUCCUGAUGAGGUGAAAACAGGGAGAGGAGAGACAGAAAGGAGACAAAACCAUCUCUAGCAAUUUAGCAUUUUUGCUUUUAAUAAAUUCCACUUUAGUGCAUGUAGACGGUUUAUCCACAUGAGCCUCUACAGCUGGUGUGUUUUAUUGUCUUGAGGUUCUAGUUUGCUCUUGUAGGGUUGUAAGUUAAAUGGUUUUAAUUGAGUUUGAAUACAGUGAAUGCUAAAGUAAUAAUUCUACAGUAACCAUCACAAGAUUAAGUUUUACUAUUUGUGCAAUAUAAUAUUACAACAGUUUAUAUUGUGUUAACUGCAUCGAUUCCUGUGAUUUUGCUUAUUAUAUUUGAGAUGUCACUCGUGUAACUUCACAAAUCUGAGUUUUUAUGUUUUUUUAGUCCUUGUACAUUACUGAUUAACAUAGAACACACUGAAGGCUCAUAUUAUUAGCAGCUCUCACAGUCUUACAGGACAGCUGUGAAGAUAAUGUAGAUUUGUGAGCAUCUGAUUUGUUUGGGUGUGGAAGCUUUCCCCAACACGCUACAGCUCACACCCUCACACAGCCACCGUCUCAGAAAAACAGAUUCUCUAAAAUGUAAAAACAUUCAAGUCUCAGUUGUUUCUUCUGCUUAACAUUUGCAUUGCAUUUACCUGCCAGCUGGGACACUUUGGCGUGUGUUAAACUUUACAAGGCAAAUGUUCUCUGUCAUUUCCAUCAUCAUUUACCUCACACACUACAGAUGGGGCUUAGAAACUUUUUCAGCUUAAUUGUAGAGAUUGAAAAUAAAAACCCCACUGACAUAGUUUAGCCUAAUUUAUUUUGCAAUAUAUCUCCAUAAGACAUGGAUGUAUGCAAGAAGAGAAAACUGCUUACUGCUGUUUAUCAUCUUUGGAAAGCACCAGUGAUGUGUCACCUUCACUUUUAAAUCUCCUGUGUCCUUGGAAUAGAAAAUCUGUGUACUUUUAAAGGUUUUGCUUUUGGGAAAUGCACAUUAAUCAAUAGCUGGUGGGACUUUCUUUGGAAUAUCUAAUGCUGACAUCUAUUCAAUUCAAUUUUAUUUAUAUAGCGCCAAUUACAGUCAAAUUGUCUCGAGACGCUUUACAGAACCCAUAUGCCUGAACCCCAGAGCAAGCCAAAAGGCGACAGUGGCAGGAAAACACCCUUUUAACAGGGAAAAAAACCUCGAGCAGAACCCGGCUCUAAUGUGGGGGAACCAUCUGCUGCUGGCCGGGCGGGUUGAGAGGGACAGAAGAAGUAGAGAGGUAGAGAUAGAGGGGUAGAGGUAGAGAUAGAGGGAUACAGAUAGAGGGGUAGAGAUAGAGAGGUGGGGGGUGGGACACAAGGACCAUAAAACACAGCCACACAUCUGAAGCAUCCAGCAUCCAGCUCUGGGACCAGGGACACUCAGAGAAAGGACACAGAAAGAAACAGAGUGAAUGUAAUGCAAUAAUGGUAUAUAUAGUAAAUACAUAGGUAGUUAGAGAAGGGCUCAGUGCAUCAAGAGAGGUUCCCCAGCAGUCUAGGCCUAUAGCAGCAUAACUAGGGGCAAACUAAAGGGACGUCAAGAGGGGAAGUCAGUUGUGCAAAUGAAAACACCAGCUCACCCCGUCAGGGUCACCCAGUCAGCCCUAACUAUAAGCUUUGUCAAAAAGGAAGGUUUUAAGCCUGGUCUUAA
ensembl:lncRNA